rnacentral:misc_RNA from 1 species
ACUUUAUGGGUGAUGCACUGGAUAGGAAAAAUUAUAGCUGCUGAAAUUAGUGACGUCUACUUAAGAUAUCCAUUUGAUGGCUUAAUGCUUGACUCAAAAUUCUAAUAUUAUUUAAAAAAAGGUCAGGUGAGUUAUUAUUAAUUUUUUUUAUUGAAAAAUUAUGAACAUCUAACAUUAAAAAGCAUCAAUAUUUCACAUGCUUUAGGCUUAAGAUGAUAACAUCACCUUAACUUUCGACCUCUAAACUCUUUAAGUUCAAGACUGAUUUGUAUUUCAUAGAGAUGAGCAUAGCUUAAUUUUUUUGUAUUAAUUCAUCAAUUUCAGAAGUACCGCAUAAACAGUGUUUUAGAGUACUUUGGUACGAUUUUUCAUCAAUAAAAAAAUGUCUUUAUAUUAUUUGUGACAUAUCUGAAAAUAGACUUUUAAAUUUGGAGUGUUCUAUCUAUCAUGUCAUAGCUCUUCUGUCUGUUGUCACCACCACUUGCUUAAGUAGAUUCUAACCAUUGCUCACAGUUAUUUCUUUCUUCCAUUUCUUAUGCUAUUGACAUUGAUAAGCAAACUUAAACCAAUUAAGGUUCACUUUUUCUAUGGGUUGACAUGGCAUACCUGAGGUUUGACUCUUGGGUGCUUUGAGCUCCUUCAAUAUUCAGUUGUAAUCUUCUGUCCUUUAUUUUUACGAUGUGCAUAUUGGUAAAUUUUAUUAAUUUUAUGUUGUGAUAUAGGCCUUUAUCAGGACUUGGUA